rnacentral:rRNA from 1 species
AGCGAACGUUAGCGGCGGGCCUAACACAUGCAAGUCGAACGCGAAAGGUCUUCGGACUGAGUAGAGUGGCGCACGGGUGAGUAACACGUAGGUAAUCUACCCUUUGGCGGGGGAUAACGUUCCGAAAGGAGCGCUAAUACCGCAUAAGACCACGGAGUCUCCGGACGCUGUGGGAAAAGGUGGCCUCUUCUUGAAAGCUACCACCGAAGGAUGAGCCUGCGUCCCAUCAGCUAGUUGGUAAGGUAAUGGCUUACCAAGGCGAAGGCGGGUAGCUGGUUUGAGAGAAUGAUCAGCCACACUGGCACUGGAACACGGGCCAGACUCCUACGGGAGGCAGCAGUGAGGAAUAUUGGGCAAUGGGCGAAAGCCUGACCCAGCCACGCCGCGUGAGUGAUGAAGGCCCUCGGGUCGUAAAGCUCUGUGGAGAGGGACGAAAACCCUGGUUUCAAAUAGGCUCCAGGCUUGACGGUACCUCUUUAGCAAGCACCGGCUAACUCUGUGCCAGCAGCCG